GAGGAAUAUUGGACAAUGGGUGGAAGCCUGAUCCAGCCAUCCCGCGUGUAGGAUGACGGCCUUAUGGGUUGUAAACUACUUUUAUCUGGGGAUAAACCUACUUACGUGUAAGUAGCUGAAGGUACCAGAAGAAUAAGCACCGGCUAACUCCGUGCCAGCAGCCGCGGUAAUACGGAGGGUGCAAGCGUUAUCCGGAUUUAUUGGGUUUAAAGGGUCCGUAGGCGGAUUAAUCAGUCAGUGGUGAAAUCUCAUAGCUUAACUAUGAAACUGCCAUUGAUACUGUUAGUCUUGAGUGAUGUUGAAGUUGCUGGAAUGUGUAGUGUAGCGGUGAAAUGCUUAGAUAUUACGCAGAACACCAAUUGCGAAGGCAGGUGACUAAACAUAAACUGACGCUGAUGGACGAAAGCGUGGGGAGCGAAC
rnacentral:rRNA from 1 species